ensembl:lncRNA
CUACAACGUCUGGGACCACAGCCAUGACAGCCUGCUGCGGAGUUUGGUGUUCUCGGCAUCUGCUGCGAUCAGGGUCCCCAGGCGGUUCCUGUCCCUUCUUGAGCACGGGUGGGAGUCGUGGCUGCGUGGACCGUCCCAGAGUGGCAGGGCUGACUGUUGGCCGGCUUUUCUGGAAGAUGUCCUGCAUCCCUGAAGUGGGCAGGCUUCCAUGUUACCUUCGAGGAGGGGAGUCCAAGGCCUCCUUGUCCCUGCCCACACAUAGCUCGGUGGCAGCUGCCAUUCCUUGGUGUUUUCGGCAGCGGCAAUGCCAGGAUUACAGGGCUAGAAAAAACCUGAGCUGAGCCUUGUAUGGCUGUUGGGCUGUCCUAUGGACCCAUCUGGGAAGGCGAUGUGGAUACAGAAGACGCCAGCAGUCACCAAGCGAGGAGGGAGCAGCACUCGCACCUUAACUGAGCAGAUUGAAGCUCACUUGCUCCGAGUGCAGAAGGUAUCAGCAGUUCCAGGUUGGUGUGAGUGUCUUGGGCCCACGUUCUCUGCUCCGGAAUAUGGAGCCUGGCUGUGCCUCAGCCUUUCUGGCAUUUCCUGGAUGAAAGGGCAUUUAAUAAAUAUGACUUUGAAUGUG